AAGAGCACAUCCUGCUGUAGCAUAGGAAGAAAACCUUGAUCGACAAAUAUUCUCUUUUGAGUUUGCGAACCCCUAUUACGGCCUGUGGGCAGGCCUAAGUCCAGGUGGAGGAGUGCCUAUACGGAGGAUGGUGAUGAUGAGGAUGAUGAAGAGCCCAAUCCCAAAUGCACACAACAAAGUCACGAGACAUAUGAGAGCGAGUGGAGAUCCGGAUCAAAUGGACAGACUCUCCCGUUGUUUCAAUUUUUUUUUGUUAUUUGUUUUUCCGUUCAGAUGUUAUAUUGUGGAACUCUGUUUAGUUGUUUAUGUUUGUGUUUUGAAGACAAUGGCAUUUUGAUUUAAUGAAUGAUGUGUGUUUUGAUUAAUUGGUAUGAUUUUUAAAGAUGAGAACAUGUAUGAUUGUGGUGCAAUGUGCUUAAACUGUGAUCUUGUACAUGAGUUGAACUAAGACCAGAUACUGUGGAGUGUUUGAGAUCAUGAAUGAGUGAAACAUAUGAGAUGAUAAAUUUGUUUGGAUAUGGAAUUGAUUUUUGCAUGAUUGUGAUUCUACAUACACACUUUUGGUUAAGGAUGAGAAAGGCAUUGUUCUUGUUAAAUUGUAUAGCUACUGGCCAAAUAGCUAACCUUCAUACGUUAUAUAUGAUACCAUUGUGAACCCUUUUGAGCCUUGAAAUUUUUUCUUCCACCGUGAGCCAAUUAGAUGAUAUCCUACCUUACACUUUAGAAGAGAAUGAGUAUUAUGUUUUGAGUGAAGGUUUGAUUGAGUUAAAGUUUGGGGGGGAAGAAAAAUGUUCAAUAUAAAAAAAAAAUUAUUUGAUGAAAAGGGUACAUGAUUUGAAGAAUUGAAGGUUGUAACCAGAAAGAAUAUGGUAGGAAAUGAUGACGAAUAAAUUGGGAUUGUGAUGAUGAUUAAGAGUUCAAACAUAUACUUAUGUUCUCUUCUUAGGUGUCUUUGAAUCCUAGAAAAACCAUGAUUCUUCUAGCCAAGCCAAGCUUUCACCCUUAAAAGACCUUUUGACUUAACCAAAUGUGUGUGAAAUGUAUCAAUUAGAUGAUGUGCAAAAGUUGAUGAAGUUCUUAAACAAAUUUGUUGAUAUACAGGUGAGGACAAACACU
rnacentral:lncRNA from 1 species